UACAGAGGUGCCAAGCGUUGUUCGGAUUUAUUGGGCGUAAAGGGUGCGUAGGCGGUUGUGUAAGUCGGGUGUGAAAUUCCGGAGCCUAACUCCGGAACUGCAUUCGAAACUACACAGCUCGAGGUCUGGAGAGGUGACUGGAAUUCUUGGUGUAGCAGUGAAAUGCGUAGAUAUCAAGAGGAACACCAGAGGCGAAAGCGAGUCACUGGACAGAACCUGACGCUGAGGCACGAAAGCUAGGGUAGCAAACGGG
rnacentral:rRNA from 1 species